rnacentral:rRNA from 1 species
UGAACGCUGGCGGCAUGCUUACACAUGCAAGUCGAACGGUAACGAGGGGAGCUUGCUCCCUGUCGACGAGUGGCAAACGGGCGCGUAACGCGUAGGAAUCUCCUUUAAGUGAGGGAUAGCCAAUCGAAAGAUUGGGUAAUACUUCAUGUGGAUGUGAAUCUAAAGACUUCGGUCGCUUAAAGUGGAGCCUGCGUCCCAUCAGCUUGUUGGUAAGGUAAAAGCUUACCAAGGCUAAGACGGGUAGCUGGUCUGAGAGGACGAUCAGCCGCAUUGGAACUGAGACACGGUCCAGACACCUACGGGUGGCAGCAGUGGGGAAUAUUGCGCAAUGGGCGAAAGCCUGACGCAGCAAUGCCGCGUGGAGGAUUAAGGCUCUAUGGGUCGUAAACUCCUGUGGAGAGUUACUAAAAAAAUGAAGGGCUCUCUAGAAAGAGGUUGCUAACUCUGUGCCAGCAGCAGCGGUAAUACAGAGACCUCAAGCGUUAUCCGGAUUUAUUGGGCGUAAAGCGUUCCGAUCGGUGGUUUAAUAUGUCUAUGGUGAAAGACCGAAGCUCAACUUCGUGUUUGCUAUAGAAACUGUUAAACUAGAAGAGCAAAGAGGUGGCUAGAACUCUGCAAGUAGCGGUGAAAUGCGUUGAUAUGCAGGGGAAUACCAAAAGCGAAGGCAGGCCACUGGGUGCUUCUUGACACUGCUAGGACGAAAGCGUGGGGAGAGAACGGGAUUAGAUACCCCGGUAUUCCACGCCCUAAACGUUGAGUGCUCACUUUUGGAAGGAGUUAACCCCUUUCAGAGGUAGAAGCUAACGCUAUAAGCACUCCGCCUGUAUAGUACGGCCGCAAGGCUAAAACACAAAGGAAUUGACGGGAACCCGCACAAGCAGUGGAUCAUGCGGCUUAAUUCGAUUAUAAGCGAGGAACCUCACCUGGACUUGACAUCUAGAUGCAAGCUUUUAGAGAUAAGAGCCUUCUACGAGAGUGCUAGACAGAUGAUGCACGGUCGUCGUCAGCUCGUGUCGUGAGAUGUUCGGUUAAGUCCGGUAACGAGCGCAACCCCAAUCCUUAGUUAUUUAAUGUCUAAGGAGACUGCCCGAGUUUAAUCGGGAGGAAGGCUGGGAUGACGUCAGAUCAGCGUGUCUCUUACGUCCAGGGCUGCACGCAUGAUACAAUGGGUAGGGUACAACGGGACUGCGAAGGAGUGAUCCGGAGCCAAUCCUUAUAAAACCCCCCUCAGUACGGAUUGAAGUCUGCAACUCGACUUCAUGAAGCUGGAAUUGCUAGUAAUCGCGAAUCAGACUCGUCGCGGUGAUACGUUCUCGGGUUUUGUACACACUGCCCGUCACGGCCUGGGAAUUGGGAGAGCCC